UACGGGGGGAGCAAGCGUUGUUCGGAUUUACUGGGCGUAAAGGGCGCGUAGGCGGUCAGCACAAGUCAGUUGUGAAAUCUCCGGGCUUAACUCGGAAAGGUCAACUGAUACUGUGCGACUAGAGUGCGGAAGGGGCAACUGGAAUUCUCGGUGUAGCGGUGAAAUGCGUAGAUAUCGAGAGGAACACCUGCGGCGAAGGCGGGUUGCUGGGCCGACACUGACGCUGAUGCGCGAAAGCCAGGGGAGCGAAC
rnacentral:rRNA from 1 species